rnacentral:lncRNA from 1 species
AAAUAUUAAGAUUCUCAGUUUGCUUGAAGGUUGUGGUUGCUUUUUGGUUUUAAUAACAAAAACCUCAAGCCUGAAAAUGGUAGUUCAGUCCUUUUCCCAUGGCAUCUUUGAGCUUUUUUCUAGUAUGGUAAGCAGGGUGAGAACUGAUUACGUUGUAAAAAUUAAAAUAAUCUCAGUUUAAAGCCUAUCAAGUAAAAAUAGUUCUAGUUUUAAAAUGAGAAAUACUAUUUUACAUGUUAUAGAAGAAAGUGUUCACCUCAGAGCUGACUUUUUUUUUCCCCUCUCCUCAGCAAUUAGGUAUUCACAGUCUCCAAAGGGAGGUUAGCAAAGACAGUAGUUUGAUUGGAAGGGGCCUACAAAGGUGCAGGUGGAGUUUGUGAUCAGCAAAAGCAGGAGUGUUACAAGCAGUAUGCACUCUGUGUCAUCUGUAGAUGUAAUUCAACUGUUUCAAGUCUGCUAAAACAGUGGUAGCUACAUGGGUGAGGCAGGACUUGGGCAGGUAACAUGCAGUUUUACUUCAGUUGCUGCUGGGGUGAGAGUCCCUACCUCCUUCCCCAUGGGAAGGUACCCUAACCCAGGAACACUUCAUGCAGCACUGAAAUGGAGGCCUUCACAGAAAGAUAAACCUCAGUAUGCUUCUCCAGUGAAAUAUAUUACACAUUUGUUAGUUUUUGGGUAACAGCCAAAUCAUUCCUUGUCCCUCCCCACACACGCUUCCAUUUAUAAAUGAAGUCUUCAGUCUUUUGAAUGUCAUACAAAACUGUUCAAAACCAGACUUGAGCAAUUGAAAUUCAAUUAGUUCAAUCAGAGUGAUUCAAUUGACACAGCUGAGUUCUGCAAUCUGAACAAAAGAUUUUGC